CUCCAAGAAACAAGUAAGAAGGCUAUCAUAGAGAGUUUGAAUGAAAAUUGGAGAAGUUGGAGUAAAGAUUGAUGAUCCAUGAUGGCCAACCUUCAUCCAUAUUCCAAACAUGACCUGAGGUUCGUGAAUCAGCAGGGUUGGCAUUCAGCACUCUCUACAUGACUGCUGGAAUGCAAGCAAUUGAUGAGAUUGUUCAUACACUUCUGCAUGCUCUGGAGGAAGAUCAAACCUUUGAUACUGCUCUGAAUGGUUUAAAACAGAUUUCUAGUGUCAGGACCAGUGCUGUGCUGCCUGCCUCAUAUCCUUCCCAAGCUUGUCUACCUUCCCCUUUCG